rnacentral:sRNA from 1 species
AGAAACAGAAAUCGACAACAUGGAUAUUUAUUCUCUAACCUUACCCAGACCAAAACGUAACAGUAUUGAUGUCUAUUCAAAUUUUGAUAAACUUCAGCUCUCAGGCAUUAAAAACAAUAUUUCUGAUGUAGUAAAAAAAGAUAUAAUUAAAGCAAGCAAUCAGCAGAGAUUCAAUACGGGCUAUGUGAACUGUAAGAAGGUUACAGCUUAAAGUUUAAAGAAAAACGACAGACCAUGUACUUCAAUGCAGAAAUCGUCCAAGCAUCAUCAAAUGCAGUUUCUUUAACAUCAACCACCUAUAAUAAUCUAUAUACUUACUUAGAAGCUAGUGAAUUUUUUUCCUUAGCCAAUUCGUUUAGAUUGAUAACUAUGCAAUAUUUUUUUUCUCAACUAUUUUUUACUAUUUUCUUUAAGGAAUCACUUUUAAAAUUAAU